AUUGAACGCUGGCGGCAUGCCUUACACAUGCAAGUCGAACGGUAACAGGUCUUCGGAUGCUGACGAGUGGCGAACGGGUGAGUAAUACAUCGGAACGUGCCCGAGAGUGGGGGAUAACGGAGCGAAAGCUUUGCUAAUACCGCAUACGAUCUACGGAUGAAAGCAGGGGACCGCAAGGCCUUGCGCUCAUGGAGCGGCCGAUGGCAGAUUAGGUAGGUGGUGGGAUAAAAGCUUACCAAGCCGACGAACUGUAGCUGGUUUGAGAGGACGACCAGCCACACUGGGACUGAGACACGGCCCAGACUCCUACGGGAGGCAGCAGUGGGGAAUUUUGGACAAUGGGCGCAAGCCUGAUCCAGCCAUGCCGCGUGCAGGAUGAGGGCCUUCGGGUUGUAAACUGCUUUUGUACGGAACGAAAAGCCUCGGGCUAAUAUCCUGGGGUCAUGACGGUACCGUAAGAAUAAGCACCGGCUAACUACGUGCCAGCAGCCGCCGUAAGAC
rnacentral:rRNA from 1 species